rnacentral:rRNA from 1 species
AUGACGAUACUUUGUUGGAACUGCCGGGGCUUGGGCCGACCCCGGAAAGUUCAAGAAUUGGUGAGGCUUGUGCAUGCUCAGCGUCCAAAUUUUUUGUUUCUUUCUGUAACUCGUCAAAAUAAAAGGUUUGUAGAAGGUCUUAGAUGGAGGCUAGGCCUCCGCAAUGUAGUUUCCUAUAUAGAAGAAGGUAAAGGGGGUGGCCUAGCUUUGUUCUGGGAUGAGAGU